AGCCUGUGAUAUAAUAGCUUUUUCAAGGAGUUUUUUAUUGAGGCUCUUAGUGGUUCUCACUUAGCCAAUUCUUGAAUAGGAGGGAUAACCUCCGAAAGAAAAAGUGAUAAC
rnacentral:ncRNA from 1 species